rnacentral:rRNA from 1 species
UUAAGGGAUUAUUUUUCUUAAGUCGGGCCUGCUCAAUGAUUUUUAUUAAAUAGCCGCAGUAUUUUGACUGUGCGAAGGUAGCAUAAUCAUUUGUCUUUUAAUUGAAGGCUUGUAUGAAGGGUUUGACGAAAUGCAAUCUUUCUUUGUAUCAAAUAUUGAAUUUAAUUUUUAGGUUAAAAAGCUUAAAUGUUUUUAUGGGACGAGAAGACCCUAUAGAAUUUUAUUAUUUUAUGUAUUGGAUAAUUUUGGUGUAUUUAAUUAUUUAUUAUGUAAAAUAAUUUUGUUGGGGUGACAUGGAAAUUUCUUUAACUUUCUUUACUUAUUUUAUAUUGAUUAAUAUUUUUAAGAUCCUAAGUUUAUGGAAAUAAGUUUAAAUUACCUUAGGGAUAACAGCGUAAU